CCUGUGUAUUUCCUUUUACUCUGUGGAUUUUUUUUUUCCUUUCAGUCUAUUUUCAGUCUGUUUUUAUUCCUUGGUUUUAGAAAAGGAAUUUAUUUGUUUGCAGUUAGAAGUAGUUAGGAGUUUUUCACUGCAUAAUGCUAUUUGACUCCUCCCACCCUAGGCUAAAAUAUUGUCCUCUGGUUUCAGAACUGCUUAUCUUGCUGUGAAAUGAAAAGACCCUUUCGAAGUCAACAUCCGGAAGUUUCUGACAGUGAGGAGAGGUGUUAACAGCUGCCAUGAAAGGGCUACUGAACUUGGUUCUCCUUGGACUCCAAAAUGCCCAAACAACUCAUUAAAAAUGGUAAGGAACUGAUCCCAUUGACAGAAACUUUGUCUUCCUUUGGAUGCAAGUACAUGCACAUGAGGAAAGGAUUAAAACAAUAUCUUACAUCCUACUACUGAGUUGGUAAAAAGAAGAGACUUUUGAGACUUUGAGAAGCGACUUUUAGUGGUGGCCCACACCAGCCUACAUCAGUGAGCAAGUUAUAACUCCUUGAAUGUCGUGAAAGACUUGAAGGUAAGUAUGAGGCAAAGAAAAGAUUGCAUCUUUACAUUUUCCACACUUAACAUUGCUACAUCAAAAU
rnacentral:lncRNA from 1 species